ensembl:lncRNA
CUUGGAAAUGAGGCUGCAUGAGAUGAUUUCUAGGAUAAGCAUUUGCCAUGGUCACCUGCAUGGAGAAAGGAUGUCUUCUGCAUCCCUUUCCACACCAUUUAUAGCAUCUUUCAUCUUUUUCAACAGGGCUGAUCUGCAAAUUUUGUCAAGACAAAGAAAUGGGGAGUGAAUCUACAGAAUUACUGUCUAGACCUGAGGUUCAUGAGUCGUCAGGACAUGGCACUGUGAAUCAAGUUGACCUCCUGAAGACAAGUCUCAUUUAUUCUGUGUGAAGGAAAGCUAAAGGGGGAGGACCAUGACCCAUCACAUGAAGAGAUGCUGACAGAUGUAAGGGAAUGUGUGUGGACAUUUGGUUAUUCUGUGAUGGUGAAAGUAAGUUGGCUGAUGAGGCCAAUCCAGUUGCUGUAUCAUUCUCACAUUUAGAACUUGUUUGGAAAGGACAGAGGAACAAAGAUUCCAGCAAGAAACAAAA